rnacentral:rRNA from 1 species
UUCCGGUUGAUCCUGCCAGACCUGACUGCUAUCGGAUUGAUACUAAGCCAUGCGAGUCUUUGCAGUAAUGCAAGGCAUACGGCUCAGUAACACGUAGUCAACUUACCCUAUGGACGAGGAUAAUCUCGGGAAACUGAGCAUAAUAUUCGAUAGAUCAUAAUGCCUGGAAUGGUUUAUGGUUAAAAUGAUUCGUCGCCAUAGGAUGGGACUGCGGCCUAUCAGCUUGUUGGUGAGGUAAUGGCCCACCAAGGCGAUUACAGGUACGGGCUCUGAGAGGAGAAGCCCGGAGAUGGGUACUGAGACAAGGACCCAGGCCCUAUGGGGCGCAGCAGGCGAGAAAACUUUGCAAUGUGCGAAAGCACGACAAGGUUAAUCCGAGUGAUUUCUGCUAAAGAAAUCUUUUGCAAGUCAUAAAACCACUAGUGAAUAAGGGGUGGGCAAGUUCUGGUGUCAGCCGCCGCGGUAAAACCAGCACCUCAAGUGGUCAGGAGGAUUAUUGGGCCUAAAGCAUCCGUAGCCGGCUCUGUAAGUUUUCGGUUAAAUCCAUGUGCUCAACGCAUGGGCUGCCGAAAAUACUGCAUAGCUAGGGAGUGGGAGAGGUAGACGGUACUCGGUAGGAAGGGGUAAAAUCCUUUGAUCUAUCGAUGACCACCUGUGGCGAAGGCGGUCUACCAGAACACGUUCGACGGUGAGGGAUGAAAGCUGGGGGAGCAAACCGGAUUAGAUACCCGGGUAGUCCCAGCUG